rnacentral:lncRNA from 1 species
GCGCCUCCGGGAGGGGAGGGGGCGCGACGGGGAUGCAGUGGAAAAAAAGUGGGCGAGCAGGAGGGUUGAAAAUAUCGUGACAAGAAGUUUCCGUGCGCCCGAGAGCGUGUGAAUUGCUCCUAAUUACCGUGUCCGGUGCGUCUCUCUACGCAGACGUGUGUAACCCUUCGGCUUCGGGGGCGCCCGCUUGGCUGCGCCGCUCUCACUGGCCCGGGGCGCUUGGCAAAGCGAAGCUUCCCUAGUGGCCCCGGCGGCCUGGGGCGGGAUGAGGGCAGCGAGUUCCCAAGUCCGGCGCGUGUGGGGUAGGUGGAGGCUGUUUUGCUCCCUCCUUGCCUUUAAAGCUCAGAGCCUUCAUUCUACAACUCUUAGUACGUCACCGAGGGAGUCGAGGUCUCCGAGGCCGAGGAGCGGCUUUGGCCUUGCCUCGCGCUACCUGUGCUGACGUCACGGCCUGGAGGGUUCGCCGAGGAGGUAACAGGUUGCGAAUUUUGUUUCCCCGUGAUGGCCACAUUCGGGUUAAUGCCCUGGCCUCUCCAGCUCUGAUUUUAUCAGGGGCCCCCACGCCCGCGCCUUUGCCUUUCAUGAGCUAAUGUUCUGUCAGUCUCAUUUUUAUUCUCCACUUUUC